rnacentral:sRNA from 12 species
GACUAGCCCUGAUUGUAGUGAAAAUAGAAAAUGCUUCCAUUGUUUGGAAGCAUUUUUUAUUGUAACGGAAAGCAGGAAUAAGG